CAAAGGCUUGUUUAAAAAAAAAUCUGUUUUGCCUAUCUAAACCUCUCUAAAAGGAAGGAAAUAAAAUUUUGUAACUUUCCAAGAAGUGAAAACCAAUUAACAUUUUAAAGUCACAUUACACUCAUAACCUCUAAUACAUUAUUUUCAGAAGAGCCAUUUCUGCUGAGUCAGAAUAUAAAAUAGGAUUCAAAUACCUAUUUCCUUAAUAGAUUUAAAUGACUGUGACUAACAAUCUCAAUAUUUCUUGUUUUAUGGAAAAAUUUUAGUUUCUCAAGGAUCCCAUGGGGAUUGGACAUGAUGGUGUUUAAGGGCCUCUAACGAUCCCUGCCUUGGAUAUGUGUAGUCCCCUCCCACACUGCAUCAGGAUUGGUCUGUGAAUACGGCAGAAAUGAUGGGGAAGCCAGAUGCUGUGUUGUGAGGACAGUCAGGCAGCCCCAUGGAGAGGCCCAUGUGGCAAGGCAUUGAGGACUUCUGCCAAUAGCCAUAUGAAUGACCAUCUUGGAAGUAGGUGCUCCAGCCCUGGAUAAACCUUCAGAUGACUGCAGCCCCUGCUCAGAGCUUGACUGCAACCCCAUCAGAGACCCUGAGCCUGAGACACUCAGCUAAGUCACUCGGAGGUUUGCUUCAUCAGAAUCCAUAGGUUCUCAAGUGGCGCUCCUCCUUGUGCUCGCAGAACCCCGCUUAUUGACUCUACAGAUACUUUUUGCAGAAAAUGGCUGCCUCUUUGCUGUCUACUGUGACUCUUCAACUAGGAAAGAACCAAAUAGAUUUAACCUACUCAACUCGACACUUCUGAACAAAAAAGAAUGCAGAAUAUAUAGCACCAACCAGGAAUUCAAGGUCUCCUUGGGAGUCUCAUGUCCUUGCCAAGCCUUCGCCAGGCUCUCGCCACUGCCGUUCCUCUACCAGCCCAAGUCUACAUUCUGAGGCUCUAGGAACACGAGAGAGAACUCCAGUGCUCACAUCCCAUAUUGACCCUCUUUAUGUUCUUCAAUUACCACCUACCUGAAAAAGCCUCAAAGUCUCAGGGGAACAUUCUGGAGUCCCUGCUGCUGAAGAGGGUUUUUUGAGUUUUGGUCGUCUUCCAAAGUUUACUGUAUGAAGUCUUAGUGCUUCACUGGAGUUUGUCAUAUGUCUGGAUAAUAAAUAAGUUUCAAAAAUGUAACUAACAUAAGUUCCAGUUGAAUUUCCAAGGCUAGCAGAAUUGUGUUCUUCUUCCUCUCCCUUUCCCUCCUCCCUGCCUCCACCAACUGCCACAGCGUAUAUUAAAAGCUGACGUGCCAAACUUUGCCUUCCGGCAGAAAUUACCUCGGAAAUAAAGCUAAGAUUCCAGGGGUCCUGGCCUUGAAGAGAAUCUAAUCCAAGAAGACAAGCGGAACUGAGAGGCCUAGGAAGACUUAAAGUUGGAAGGAAAGAAUUCACAGCUAAUUUGGAGGAUAAACAGAAAAGUAGUUCAGCAUAAUGUGAACAUUUUUCCAUGUGCUACAGCAAAGGAAGAGGAUUUGGGAUAUUUAAGGAGGAGAGUUGCCCUUUCCACCUUAGCCUGCUUUUCUCAGAGUUGGCAUUCAACCACCAAAACAGCCAGAAACCAGAGGGCUGUUCCCACACCCACAAUUUAUAUAGCUUUACUCCAUUCAUAGCAGGUAGAUAUCUAACGACACUUAAGGCUUCCUACCAAAUUUUUACAAUUUCAUUUUAUUGCUCAUGAUUCUCUUUUGCUACUUUCAUCAGCUUUGUGUCCUGGAAUUUCACUUAGCCUGGCAGGCCUUCCCUCUGCCACAGCUAAAAGAGAACUCAAAUAGACUUUGUCUCGGGAGUGGGACAUGACCCAGUCAUAUGGGGUAGCAUAUAUCCCUUCCCGCACUAAUUGUUCUGCUUUUUUAAAUCCUUGCUUUCAAAAGAAAUGUAAUCCUUAUGUUUCUACCUCAUUUACACUUAAUUUAGGAAAGCCCUCUUUCAUAAGAGCUGUGUGAUGUCCAAACAGCCUUCUUGACACACACGCCCCUCUUCAAGAGCCUCUAGAAGUCUUCCAAAGUCAGAACCAAUGCCUUCUGACUCUAAAUUGAAAAUCCAAUUAAACACGCAAUUUAGGUGAAUACCAGAAAGUUUACCCUUGAAUUUUCAGCUAGCGCCUACUCUCACAAAAGUAUUUGAGAGCAUCGAAAUUCUAGAAUCUAGAAAAAGAAUCUGUAGUGUGUGCUAACAAUUUACUUCUCUAGCAUCAAUAAUUUCUGACCCUGCAGCAAGUCCCAGCACCAGGAAGUGACGCAUUUGAAUUCCAUAGGUCACCUUAGCAUCUAGUAGCAAUGCCCAAGACAUGGGCUCCAGAGCAUACUUCCUGCAUUUGAAUCCUACCUUUACAUCAUAAGUUAUUUGUAAAUAUCAAAUGAGUCAAAGCAGGCAAAGCACUUAUUGUAGUGCUGGACGUAGUCACUACUCGGUCCCAUUACCUGUGAUCACUAGGCUUUUGCACACUGCUCUUGGUGCUUAUUGGGAACAAUAUAAGAAUUUACUGUAUCUACAGGAAGAUAUUUCUGCAAUUUUUGUAAAACUACUUUUAAAGAUACUGCUCAUUUUUCCUUUUAAUGUCCCGUCUAGUAAAUAAGCCUUUGUUAAAGUAAUGUUAGAUUACUCAAGCUAGAAAAACAGAAAUGUGCCCUCCUGAUUAACUAACAGGCUUCCUUUAACUUUAAUAUCAUAAACACAGAUGAGUGACUAGUUUUUCAUUCUUAUUUUAUUCUUUGCUUUGGCUGUCAAAAAGUCAGGGUUUAUGUUUGGCUAUAGUAGCAAUCCUGAGUUUAGCAAUAAUAAUAGCUCUCAGUUAUUUACGAAAAAAGUGCUAAUGUUUAAGAGCAUUUUGUAAUGUUAUUGUCUGAUUUUUGCACUCCAAAAAUAAAAAUUAAAAGAGGGCAAUUCCUGCAAAUAAAUAUACCUGAAAUUAAUACACAAGAA
rnacentral:lncRNA from 1 species